CCUUUUUCCCCAACAAUCAUCAAACCAAACUAAAGGAAACCAACUUUUUAUUUUUAUCACUCUUUGUCUCUUGUAAAAACCCAUCGGAGUGUUAUGUCUCCGACGAUUGUUCAGUUAACCGAUUACCAUAUCGACCAAUCAACAGACGCUACAACAAAUCUCUGGUCAACUGAAGACGAUGCGUCAGUGAUGGAAGCUUUCAUCGGCGGCUCUGAUCAUUCUUCUCUGUUUCCUCCACUUCCUCCUCCUCCUCUUGCUCCUCCGGCCCUUUCUCAGGUCAACGAAGAUACUCUACAACAACGACUCCAAGCUUUAAUCGAAGGAGCAAACGAGAGCUGGACUUACGCUGUGUUCUGGCAAUUAUCUUACGAUUUCGCCGGAGAAGACGUCGAAGAAGGAGGAGUAGGAGGAGGAGGACUAACCAACAACAACACGGCGUUGUUAGGUUGGGGAGAUGGUUAUUACAAAGGAGAAGAAGAGAAAUCUAGGAAGAAGAAAACGAAACCAGCUAGUGCAGCUGAGCAAGAGCAUCGUAAGAGAGUGGUUAGAGAGCUCAACGCUUUGAUCUCCGGAGGAGGAGGAGAAGUAGUUAACAAUGGCGGCUCUGAUGAAGCAGGAGAUGAAGAAGUUACAGAUACUGAAUGGUUCUUCUUGGUUUCGAUGACACAGAGCUUUAUCAACGGUACUGGUUUACCUGGUCAAGCGUUCUCGAGUUCGAACACAAUUUGGCUAUCUGGAUCUAACGCGUUAGCUGGAUCGAGUUGUGAGAGAGCUCGUCAAGGUCAGAUUUAUGGGUUACAGACAAUGGUGUGUGUACCAUGUGAGAACGGCGUCGUUGAGCUUGGUUCGUCUGAGAUUAUACAUCAAAGCUCAGAUCUUGUUGAUAAAGUUGACACCUUUUUCAACUUUAACAAUGGCGGUGGUGGUGGUUGUGAAUCUGGUUCUUGGGCGUUUAAUUUGAAUCCAGAUCAAGGAGAGAAUGAUCCGCGUUUGUGGAUUAGUGAACCUGGAGUUGAAUUGGGUCUUGUAGCUCCUGUGAUCAUCAAUACUGGUAACAACUCAACGUCUAACUCUGAUUCUCAACCAAUUUCGAAGCUUUGCAAUGGUGGAAGCUCUGUUGAAAACCCUAAACCUCAAGUUACGAAAUCAUGUGAGAUGGUGAGUGUCAAGAACGGGGUUGAGAAUGGCUUCUCCUCUGGUCAAAGCCGGUUUAUGGGAGAAGAUAGUAGUAACAAGAAGAGGUCUCCGGUUUCGAAUAACGAAGAAGGAAUGCUUUCAUUCACCUCUGUUUCUGUUCUACCACGUCCUGCGAAAUCAGGGGACUCGAAUCACUCUGAUCUUGAAGCUUCGGUGGUUAAAGAAGCUGAGAGUAACAGAACUGUGGUCGAACCGGAGAAGAAACCGAGGAAACGAGGGAGGAAACCGGCUAAUGGAAGAGAAGAGCCUUUGAAUCAUGUUGAGGCAGAGAGACAGAGAAGAGAGAAGCUGAAUCAGAGAUUCUACUCUUUAAGAGCUGUGGUUCCUAAUGUCUCUAAGAUGGAUAAAGCUUCUCUCUUAGGAGAUGCUAUUUCGUAUAUCAAUGAGCUUAAGUCUAAGCUGCUGAAGGCUGAGUCUGAUAAAGAAGAGUUGCAAAAGCAGAUUGAUGGGAUGAGUAAAGAGGCGGCAAAUGGGAAAAGUUCGGUUAAAGAACGGAAUCAAGAACCGGGUGUGUCGGUUGAGAUGGAGGUUGAUGUGAAGAUCAUUGGUUGGGAUGCGAUGAUAAGGGUUCAAUGCAGUAAGAGGAAUCAUCCUGGUGCUAAGUUCAUGGAAGCACUCAAGGAACUUGAUUUGGAAGUGAAUCACGCGAGUUUAUCAGUAGUGAAUGAUCUUAUGAUCCAACAAGCGACUGUGAAAAUGGGGAAUGAGUUCUUUACGCAAGAUCAGCUUAAGGUUGCUCUAAUGGAGAAAGUCGGAGAAUGCUCAUGAAUAGCAUCUUAAGAAGUGUUCUCUUUGUGAUUGUAGUGUGCAACUAUAUUAUGUAAGGGUUUGUGUUCAUCUCAGCCACAUAAGGACAAGUCUAUGGGAAUAGUUUGGCACCAAACGAGGCAUCUAAUUUGUUAGGUAAGAAUAUACCCCUUUCUUGUUCAAUAAAGAUUAUUUACACCAAUCACAUCCAUCAAGAGAUUCCAAUGUAGGGCAUUGGGACCUCAAGAUUAAUGUGGAUGUAACACGAUCAUUAUUGUUCUAAAUAGUAUUUUGAACACGAUGUACACGUAAGACUUUCAAAAAUAUGGAGUCAUAUAUA